rnacentral:rRNA from 1 species
CCUACGGGUGGCAGCAGUGAGGAAUAUUCGUCAAUGGACGAGAGCCUGAACGAGCCAAGUCGCGUGAGGGAAGACGGUCCUCGGGAUUGUAAACCUCUUUUGCCGGGGAGCAAAAAGCGGUACGUGUACCGCAUCGAGAGUACCCGGAGAAAAAGCAUCGGCUAACACCGUGCCAGCAGCCGCGGUAAUAGGGGGGAUGCGAGCGUUAUCCGGUUUUAUUGGGUUUAAAGGGUGCGCAGGGGGCGAGUUAGGUCAGCGGUAAAAUUUCGGGGCCCAACCCCGACAAGCCGUUGAAACUGGCUUGCUAGAGUGGGCGAGAGGUAUGCGGAAUGCGUGGUGUAGCGGUGAAAUGCAUAGAUAUCACGCAGAACUCCGAUUGCGAAGGCAGCAUACCGGCGCCCAACUGACGCUCAGGCACGAAAGCGUGGGUAUCGAACAGGAUUAGAUACCCGAGUAGUC